CACAACACGGUCUACCCUCCAGAUUCAGAUUAUGCAUCUCAGAAGAAACACCACAGAAGUAAUGUUGUAUUUUCCUCCAUACAUCAAAUCAGGAGAAUACCUGAAACUGCAUAAUUUAUACAGAAAAUGAAUUUACUUCUCAGUUAUGGAUGCCAAGAAGUCCAAAGUUGAGGGCUGCAUCUGGUGAGAGGCUUCUUGCUGAUAGGGGCUCUCUGAAGAGUCCUGCGGCAGCACAAGCAUCACAUGGUGGGAUGGCUGAGCAGGCUACUGUGUUCAGGUCUCUCUUUCUCUUCUGACAAAGCCACCCAUUCUCCUCCCAUGAUAUCCAUCAAUCCAUUAACCCCAAAAUUCCUUAAUCCAUUAAUCCAUGGAUGGAUUAAUCCAAUCACCUUUUAAAGGUCCACCUUUCAAUACUGCCACAUUGAGGAUUGUAUUUCCAACAUAUGAAAUUUGGGGGACACAUUCAAAGCGUAGUAGAGCCCAUUCAAGCUAAUUACCAUGUUCUUUGACAGGUUUCCAGCACUUUUACUUUCUGGCAUAAUUGUUGGCAUAUCAUAUCAGGCUCAUCUUGUCUUUCUUCUUCCUUAGUGCUGGAAACAGUCAUUUCUCCAAGAAGUCCUCAUUGCCUUAAGUGAACAUCAGGUGUGUUCAUCACUAUUGGUGUGCCCCUGCUUUGAAGCUCUUGUAGUGGACAUAGCUAGGAAAUUAUUCACAUGGACACACACACACACACACACAUAUUGGUAUUAGGCAGAUGCAGAUAUAGAUGACAUAUAGCUAAAUAUGUACUAUGAGUUCAAAAGCUCAUCCUGGUAAAGCGCACAGCAAUCCAAAAGCACAGGAUUCAUUUUAGUCUUUUUUUUUAAGUUUUUUUUUUAAUUUUUAUUUUUUAUUUAUUAUUAUUAUACUUUAAGUUUUAG
rnacentral:lncRNA from 1 species